CCUACGGGAGGCUGCAGUAGGGAAUAUUGCUCAAUGGGGGAAACCCUGAAGCAGCAACGCCGCGUGGAGGAUGAAGGUUUUCGGAUUGUAAACUCCUUUUGUUAGAGAAGAUAAUGACGGUAUCUAACGAAUAAGCACCGGCUAACUCCGUGCCAGCAGCCGCGGUAAUACGGCGGGUGCAAGCGUUACUCGGAAUCACUGGGCGGAAAGAGCGCGUAGGCGGGAUAGCAAGUCAGAUGUGAAAUCCUAUGGCUUAACCAUAGAACUGCAUUUGAAACUGUUAUUCUAGAGUAUGGGAGAGGUAGGUGGAAUUCGUGGUGUAGGGGUAAAAUCCGUAGAGAUCAAGAGGAAUACUCAUUGCGAAGGCGACCUGCUAGAACAUAACUGACGCUGAUGCGCGAAAGCGUGGGGAGCAAACAGGAUUAGAUACCCCUGUAGUC
rnacentral:rRNA from 1 species